GAGGGCAUAGCUCAAGUGGUAGAGCACAUGCCUAGCAUGCAUGAGGUCCUGGGUUCAACCCUCAGUUCCUCU
rnacentral:tRNA from 1 species